GGGUGAGGACAACUGCUCGGGAGAGCAGACGCGAAGGAUUCUCUGGGGAAGAGGGAAGCGGGUGGCGUCUCCUAGGGGCCAGAACCAGGAAGGAUUCCAGAUGGGAGGCUGAGAACAGAUCCCAGAAAGAGACAGAAACUUCUGCGGCUUUCCUGGGAGCAAACUACCAGCACAAGCAGCUCAGGGGCUCCACCUUCUGUCCAGAUCAUGACACAGGAGAGACUGCGGGAGAGGCUGCUGCCAAGGACGUCACAGGCAGAUGGAAGAAAGCUUGGAGGCCCCUACUCCACCCCUGGCGCCGCGCCAAAUGGCCCUCCCCAACCUUCAGCCCCCAGGGGCCUCUGAAUUGGGAGCUCGGUUUAUCUCCGCCCAGCUUCUACCUAACUUGAUGGCCUCAGGGGGUGGAGCUUAUCGAUGCAGGCUCCUCCCCAGGACAAAUUGCCCAGCUGGUUUGUAAACAGUCUUUCACUGAGAACCACAUCCCAGCCUUCGUGGAUUUGAAAAUGGGAUCAGUGUUCUUCCAGUCUCCAGUGCUACCGCGAGAGGGCAGUAGGAUAGGUCUGGUCUCAGGAAAGAACACAUGAGGAACCCAAUCUGACCUUGUCUGCUUCUUUUAAAUUGAAAUGGUGAAAUCUACCUAUCCUUGCACCUCUCAAGGUGGGCUAAAAUGAAGAGAAAAUUACCUAAUUCCAUUAGUUUGGAACCCCUGACAACACUGAAUAUUGUUAUUCCCUUGUAAGAUCUUUUCUGGACUUUCAUAAGGGAUCUUCACAGAGGGCAGACUAGGCCUCAUGGUAUUAUAAGCCUUUGCAUAGCCUCAAGAAAUCACAAGCAACUUUUUUUCUAGGCUUGCCCAAAACGUCAGGAAGUAGUUAAGUACACUUUCUGAAGACAGGAAUUCCUAACCAAGAUGUAGAGGACCCUUUUUGAUUCAAUUUUAACAAAGAUAGUAUUCUUUGUCACUCUUUCUUGAAAAUUUAAUUCAUUAAACUCAGAUUAACCCCUGGAAAAAGUUAUUUCUAGAACAAAUUUUUCCCAAUAUGCCCUUCAAAAAAGGCCUAUUUUUAACCAAGCAGUAAUGUGCUACAUGGUAUGGGGGGGGAAAUCAAUUUGCAUUGAAUAAAAGGCCCAAAACUGAGGCCCUAAGAUCACACUAUCCACAAGAAACUCCUCACAAGAGGUAUGGUUGUCUAUCAGCAAGAGAAUGACUAUUUUUGAGGACUGAUUUCAAACAUACAUGGCCAACUUCACACUGAAACUGCUUUUUAUGGCCACUCUAUAAAAAUCUGUUGAAAACAGUGCUGGUGAUGUGAGACUCCAUACACCUGUAGCCCCAGCUGCUCAGAAGACAGGUGGGAGAUCUCUUGAGCCCUAGAGUUGGAGACAUGUCUCUAAAACUAAAAAUAUAUAACCCUUCACUGUUGAUGAUGUUGUCAGAACCAAGAGAAACAGACAAAUUCUGGGGGGGUGUACAUUUUAUUGGAAACUUUAAAUACUGUUCAGACAGAAUGUAUCUUCAAUCAAGGCUCUUGUGUAGCCUACACAGAAAAGUGAAG